ACUGAACCAAGUACCACACAGGCGGACCACGCAGAAGUAGAAGUGUGCAGGCAAUUUACCUCCCAGGCUGGGAGCCUGCUGUAGGUAAAUUGCCGACUGCUGGGUGGCCGCAGUUCGUGCAAACGAACACGUGGCGGUGGCCAUCUUUGUUCAUUCGAACGAGGUCAGCGGUAUGUGAAGCCAAAUUCAUGGAACUGAAAUCGGCUACACAUUU